rnacentral:rRNA from 1 species
AGGGAAUUUUCGUCAAUGGGCGCAAGCCUGAACGAGCGAUGCCGCGUGAGUGAAGAAGGUCUUCGGAUUGUAAAGCUCUGUUGCCGGGGAAAAAGAGGGAAUGCAGGAAAUGGCAUUUCAUGGAUGGUACCCGGCCAGAAAGCCACGGCUAACUACGUGCCAGCAGCCGCGGUAAUACGUAGGUGGCGAGCGUUAUCCGGAAUGAUUGGGCGUAAAGGGUGCGCAGGCGGUCUGUUAAGUCUGAAGGCAAAGGGAUGAGCUCAACUCAUUCAUGAUUCAGAAACUGGCAGACUUGAGGACAGGAGAGGGCGGUGGAACUCCAUGUGUAGCGGUAAAAUGCGCAGAGAUAUGGAAGAACACCAGUGGCGAAGGCGGCCGCCUGGCCUGUGACUGACGCUGAGGCACGAAAGCGUGGGGAGCAAAUA